CUCUCUGUGACUCCUACGGGAGGCAGCAGUGGGGAAUAUUGCACAAUGGGCGCAAGCCUGAUGCAGCCAUGCCGCGUGUGUGAAGAAGGCCUUCGGGUUGUAAAGCACUUUCAGUUGUGAGGAAGGUGGUGUCGUUAAUAGCGGCAUCAUUUGACGUUAGCAACAGAAGAAGCACCGGCUAACUCCGUGCCAGCAGCCGCGGUAAUACGGAGGGUGCGAGCGUUAAUCGGAAUUACUGGGCGUAAAGCGCAUGCAGGUGGUUUGUUAAGUCAGAUGUGAAAGCCCCGGGGCUCAACCUCGGAACUGCAUUUGAAACUGGCAGACUAGAGUACUGUAGAGGGGGUAGAAUUUCAGGUGUAGCGGUGAAAUGCGUAGAGAUCUGAAGGAAUACCGGUGGCGAAGGCGGCCCCCUGGACAGAUACUGACACUCAGAUGCGAAAGCGUGGGGAGCAAACAGGAUUAGAUACCCUGGUAG
rnacentral:rRNA from 1 species